GUGAAUGUCUUUGGUGAGGCUAAAAUAGUAGAGAUUUGGAUUUCUUUAGCCUUAAUAUAUAUGCACAAAUUCUUUUAAUAUCUGAUGCAUAAAAUUGAAGGUUGGAGGGGAUGCUGUCAAAGUAACACGCAUAUUUUUUAAGGACUUUGUAGUGGUUGUUUUUGUUGUUGGUUUUUCUCCUUGAAACACCAUCUUGGGGCGCAUAAAAUCAUUUGAUUUCAAACUUCUGAAACUUUCUCUCUACUGGGACCAAAUUCUGUCAUCCUAAAACCCUUUUCAUGUGCUCUAGUAAAAUAAGGAUUUCAGUGGCCCUGGAGCUAUGUGGAAGAUGCUGCCUGGCAGCCUCCCAGCAGAAGGUGCUUUAGAGGCAAUGUCAGAGUCUGCUUUGCAGUGCUUAUUUCUGGGGACAUGCAAGGAAGUAGGAACAACGUGGAGGGUUAGGUUGUAGCCUGGAUCAGUUCUGGGAGCAGGAUGAGAGGAAGCCAGAAAUGAUCAUAAACCUUGCAGUAUCCAGGUAUCAGAGCAGCAUGUUGAUGAAUGAGGCUUACUGCUCAGCUCUGCCUUUCUCAGUGAAGCUUACUUUCUGAAGACGCUGCUGGGCUUUCCAAAUUGCAGUCCUUCAGCAACAACAACCAGUUUUCUUCCUUUCCUCUGGAUGGAGAUGCACUGCAGUGCUCACUGUGGUGUCACGCAAAUGGCCAGCCACCAAUGUGAGGCAGAAAGGUUGGAUGUCUCUUCUGUUGUAUUGCUUCUGUAGCUCAAGCACCAUCGUGCAGUUCCAAUACCUUUGACUGGGGAUUGGCUAUUUGUUUACAAAGCACUUCCUGCUCCAAGAAACGUCGUGCAUUGCACUGCUGCCAUCACUGCAGAUAUUCAGGAAAAGGACGGAGGGGGCAUUCUGGCAAAGGGUGUGAAAGACACCAUCAAAUGGAAGAGAUUGUUUUUUCUUUAUUUUCCACUGAGACCUAGCUGUGUUGUUUGAAGACCUUACUGUCCUAUGGAAUAAAUGCAGUCUCUGGCAUUAUCCCACUGAUGUGAUUUUGAAUAUAACAUGAAAGAACAUGACCAGCGUUCCAAUGCAAGAUGGAAAAAAAAUGGAAUUCUUCCCAAUCAUGGAUAUGCAGGGCUGUGUGGAAGAAGCAAAGCUGAUAUUCAGUAAUCAAGCAUCUCAUCUGGAUGCAAAUGAAGGAAGGACCUCAACCAACUUUUUGGAGGGGGUAGGAACAAUUGAGCUGCUUUUGGACCCAGACUGUGUGUUGUUGAAAGUGUUAGUAGCAUUAACUGUAGUCAAUCAUAAGAGAAUAAAGGGUGGAUAAACUGUUGUUUAUCUUUUUACACUUGGAUUAAUUUCAGCAGCUGUAAUCUCCCUGCUGACUUCCAACUGCUCAGUUCAGGAUGAGAGGCAGCUCUUAUCUUGGACAAGUGCUCAGCUGGUGCUUGGGGAACUGGUGGCCAUACAGGGAGCUGUUCCUAGAGCCAUAGAACUACUUCUACCAUACUCUUCUUUGUAUUCUUCUGACAAAAUGAAUGACAUGGACAUGUCAAGCUUUAUGGCAAAGGGAAAGAAAAUAGAAAUCUUCAUCCUGUCCUCUCACUGAAUGUACACUCAUUUGGCUCUAUUAAUAAAGAUUAGAUGAAUAUGUAAGGGUACAGCUUGGUUAUACUUCCAUACCAGCUCCUGUGCAUGACAAGGAUGAUUGGAUGCAUGGCUUUUCAUUUCAGAUGAAGCAACAGAAAUACAUGAGAAGCCAAUGAUUACUGUUUAAUCUUAUUUAUCACAAUACCAGGAGCAGAGGGACACUAGAUAAAAUUAUAAAGCCGUGGGUUUAAAAAGUAGAAGUAGUGCUGAAGAAGAGAAGUGAUUAAAUUGUGGGACUCUUACAACUUGGUGAGGCAGAAACCCAAAAUAUAGAUUAAUUCAAGAAAGGGUUAAAGGGCUUCUGGGAGGAUGCAUUCAGCAUUGUCUCAGGUGGUAUUUCCAGCUCUGAAAAGAUAUGUUGCAAAUCUGUCAUGAGAAUGAGUGACGUAUCAUUGUGUGCUUAUCUCUGAUUACUUUGUUCUUUGAGCAUACAGUACCAGAUAAACUGGGCUUGGCAGACUAUUGGAUUGACCUUCAGCUGGGCUUGCAUUUUUGUGGGGAGGAGUGAUUAAUAACUCUGUUGUUUUUGUCUUCUCACAGCUGAUGGCUUUAUUGGUGUGGAGUGGAGGUGGGCUAUUUUAUUUGUGCUAUUAUUCGUUUUACAUGAUCAAUAAAGUUUGGAAAGCUUUUGAAUCCUGUCACAGCAUUUAAUAGAAGAAAGCUUUGAAAAUUCAGGUCAUUAUUGUUUUGUGUUGAGUUCUGGGUUGGAAUGC